rnacentral:lncRNA from 1 species
AGGUCCCCUCGGGCUGUGGCCGCAGCGGCAGCGGCAGCGGCAGCGUCUGGCUUGCAGAGUCUCGGCCGGCCGAGGGAAGGGACCCUGAAAGGCCCCCAGUGCCCUCUGGCACCCGGGUCAGAUGCCGGCCAGCGAGGGUGCGGAGAGAGAGAGACCUUGAGCAGCGCCAACCGCGUCCUCCGCUCUGCGAGCCCCCUCUGGAGCGGCGGGAAGUACCCUCGGAGCCUCCAUCCCUGGACGUGGAUCCAGGAGAGUCUGGACCUCUGGGGCCCUUGGCAGAGAGCCUGCAUCCUGAGCACGUCUGGACCAGAGGGGGUGAGGUGAGCAGGCAGGGAGCCUGGGUACCUGGCAGGUGUGGGGACUGUGGGUGGAAGGGCUGCCUCCUGGCCAGGCCAUCCUUGGGAGCAGGCAGAGAGGCGGGGAAGGAGGCCCUUCUGCAAAAUCAGCUGGCUCACCGGAUGCUCAGGCCCCCGGUGGGGAACGUGAAGUUCACGUCCCUGCUGGGUUGUUCCCUGCCUCUCCUGUUGUGCCAGGCUCCCAGGCUGAGCAUAGGCUGCCUCUCACUGGACGUGCUUCCUGCCCUGCUCAGACCCCCAUCCCACAUCUCUACACCAUUGUGGGCUCACACUGUCCACCUGGCUCUGCUGGCAGGACCUAUCUUACUCAAAGUUUGAGAGACAGGGAACCCCUGCCAUAGGGGUUAUCUCGGUGAGAGGGUGGCUUGCUGUCACUCUCCUGCCCAUCGGACUGGCCUCUGCCGUCUAGUUCCGGCUCUGUCUCUGCCUCACUGAGUGACCUUGGGAAGCAACUGGGCCUUGAUCUUCCCGUCUAGACAAGGGGGGAUUACACUGGUUGGUCCCUGAGGGCCCUUGAAGCUCCAGUUUUCUGUGUGUCUAGGAAUCUGGAUGCAGGUGUCACUGGGGUCAGAGUGAAAAUAUCUUUAGUAUCUUUUUUUUUCUGUCUUAUUUUGGCCACACUCGUGGCAUAAGGAAGCACCCAGGCCAGGGGUCAAAUCGGAGCUGCAGCUGCUGGCCUACACCCCAGCCAUAGCAAUGUGGAUUGAGCCACAUCUGCGACCUACACCACAGCUCAUGGCAAAGCCAGAUCCUUAACCCAUGAGCAAGGCCAGGAAUGGAACCCCUGUUCUCAUGGAUACUAGUUGGAUUCAUUACCACUGAGCCACAGUGGAACUCCCUGAAUAUACCUUUACUUGGGUACCUGGGAGGUCAUGCCUGGAUCCUGGCAGUUCCAUGUCUCCCAACACUGCCCCAAAGUGGGUUGCUCCUGGACAUUGGCAUCCAUGCUCUUGGGGAGGUUAGAGAUGUUUGACCAACACAUAGCACCCCCUCCUUCCCUGUCUUUGAAGAGCAUCACAGAGGAGGGCUUGGCCCUGGCAUUUGGGGGAGUGAGGUGAAGGAGACGGGGAGGCUGUGCCAGAAGGAUCACUGCUCAGCUCUGGGACCCCCAGACUCGCAGAUGCCUGUUUUAAAAUAAGGGCUGAUUUCAGGUUAUGGCUCAUCGUGCCCCAGGAGAGGCUCCCCUCCCAGAGGAGUGAGAGGGCCAUUUGUUCUCCAGCAAGGCUUCCUGGUGGGGAGGCAUAUAUGCUCUUGGCCUUGCUUGCAGGGUUGAAACUCAGGGAUGAAGAGAAGGGGAGGGGGGGCAUCUAUGAGAGGCCGGGAUCCCUCGGGCUGGGCGUGCCCAAGGGAUGCGUAUGCCAGUGUCUCGAGCUGAGAUGUGACAGUAGUCUGAGCUUGCAGACAGAGAUCUGGCUUCUUUGACACAUGACCUAGUUAUCCAGAGGAACCUGGAAUAUUCUCAAAGGAAGAAGGAUAGAUUCAUGGAUAGGGGAUGGAUAAAAUUAAACUGAUCUGAGAAAGGAAUCGCUAAUGACUUUCUGCAGGUUAUUCAUUUAUUGAAUAGGAGAGGCAAACUGAAUUUUAUCUUAGUGUUCUGAGCCUGACAGACUAAGAAUGGGUCAGGCUGAGGAUUAGGGCUGUAGAAGGGAGAUGGAGGUUUGGCACGGAGGAGAGUGGGCAUCGGGCAAGGGUGACGUGAUUUGAGACCUGUUGAACUUGAAGCAACAAAAGGAGAGCCUAGUGGAACAAGGGGCACUUGUCGAGGUGAGGAUGUGGAUUUGGAAACGUCACACAUAGAGAUGAUAGCAGAGGUUCUAUAAAUGAGUCUUCAAAGGAGAGACAUUAAAGCAAAAGAUGAGGAAUGAAGAACCUUAGGAAACUUGAAUUAAUAUCCCUUGGUUUAUAGAGGGGAAAACUGGGCUCCGGAAUUUGUCAUUCGUUCACCUAGCCAUCUACUCAUCCGUGCGUCCAUCCAUGCAUCCAUCCAAACACUCAACAAAUGUAUUUAUCCAGAAGCUAUAAUGUGCAAGGUCCUGAAAAUGUUCCUGGCUCAGGGACUGACAAGGGAUCGUUAGCAAGGAGGCGGUAGCGAGAGGAUCAUCUGGGAACCGAGAGGGGAGGAUGUUUCAGGAAAGUCAGUAACAUCCAGGACAGCUAAGGAAAGCAAUUUGGAUUUGCUCUCUGGUGGAUCCUGGAGAGAAUUUUGGUAAACUGCUGGCAAUGGGAAGUCAUGAAUGAAGGAGCUAAGGAGGGAUUGGCGAUGCUUCUGGAAGACAGACAGGAAUGGUUUUUGCCUCUAGCUUUUGCAGGGUGCUUUUUGGUGGUGAAGGAUUACUUGCGUGUAGCCAGCACGUUCAUCAAUUCAACGUGUCGUCUGAAACGUCUAAAUAGGAUUCUAUCAGGACAGAGUGUCCUGAAAUAGAGAACCUGCUCUAUCACCUACUGUCUAGUUAUUUACCAGGAAUAGCUGUGCCUUGGGAAAAGCCUGAGGCCAGAUGUCAGAAGACCUGAUUCCUGGUCCUGGCUCUGGUGCCAGCCAACUGGAUUAGGAUGACCUUGGCCAGGUCACUUAACAAGAACUCUUUAUCCGUAAGACAACAAAGUUAUUCCCAUACGACAACGAAGUUACUCCCCAUACCUUAUCUGGCAUUGCCGCUCACCUUGGACUCCCUCCAGAUAUCCACCUUGCUGAGUGGAUAGAUGGAAGGAUGAAUGGUUAGAUGGAUGAAUUAAAAAUUCUGGAACUCAGCUGGCACAUCUCUAAACCAAGGGACAUCAAUUCAGGCUUUCUGAGGUUCCUUCCAACUCCAAUGAUCUAUGACUAUCCUUUUUUUUUAAUUUUAAUUUUUUUUAGCAUAAGUAGAAUUCAUCCAAAGUUGCUUAGUGCCAAAACAGCUGGGCCAAUUAACUUUUUGUAGAUUAUUCCAUUUAAUCUCCUUGAGGUUAGAGACUAAACCAUCUAUUGUCACAGCUCCAAAGACUUUCUUUUAUGAUCAAUGAUAGCAUCUUAGGAGGUUGAUUCUAAGUGUUCUUUGAAGGAAAAAGAAAUGAUUUCCAACUGUAGAUUCUCUAGAAGACACAUUCAAGGAUAGGGAGUGUGUGGUUCUCACGGCAGACAACGUACCAUAGUGUUUGCCAGCUACUCAAAAGUUGUCCUUGGGAGUUCCUGUCGUGGCGCAGCGGAAAUGAAUCCAACUAGGAACCAUGAGGUUGUGGGUUCGAUCCCCGGCCUCGCUCAGUGGGUUAAGGAUCCGGUGUUGCCGUGAGCUGUGGUGUAGGUCACAGAUGUGGUUCAGAUCCAGCAUUGCUGUCGCUGUGUUGUAGGCCAGCAGCUGCAGCUUCAAUUUGACCCCUACCCUGGGAACCUUCAUAUGCUGCAGGUGUGGCCCUAAAAAGACAAAAGCCAAAAAAAAAAAAAAA